rnacentral:lncRNA from 1 species
CGAGGAAACACUUAGAUCAAACGUGAAUUGGAAAACGAUGAUGGAGGAUGAUCAACAGACGUGGAGUUCUGUGAAUUGGCCAUAAACAACAAAGAAAACAGCAGCAGACAUCGACACCUGGAGGAACUAGGCGACUGAUACCAUGUUAAGUGCUAAGUAGAAAACAUAACAAGACUACAGAGUAAUACUUUCAAUCAAUCUUUCUUACUUCUUUUCUUUGAAUACAUUGGCUAUGUUUAUACACACAUACCAGAGCGACUAUUCUUGAUUAACUGCAUAUCAAACUAAUUACGAG